GCCUGGCUGGCUCAGUCGGUUAAGCAACUGACUUUGGCUCAGGUCAUGAUCUUGCAGUUCAUGGGUUCAAGCCCCACGUCGGGCU
rnacentral:tRNA from 1 species